UUCGUGCAAAUGGCGGCGCUGUUUGGAAAAUUUGAAAACAACACGAUUGGCAAUUUAUAUUGAUUUCGAAGAUCCUGGUCCUGGCUGAAAUUUAGAGUAUUGCAGCUGUAGCCUGUAUACCAUACAUUCAACAUGAAAAGAACUGUCAGGAUGCUGCAUAAAAUGGUCUUAGCUAGAGCCUAGAAUGUUAAUUUCUUGGGAAUAUGCUGCAAGGAACUGACGGGGAGCAGUUUUUCUUACCAAUCACAGAAGCAGUAAGAGACAGCCAAAGAAGUACUCAAACACUUGACAUACCCAGAAAGAUCUAGAAGAAAAGAUUGGAACAGAUUGUAGCUUAAUUGUUAAAACUAUUAAAGUGAAUUUAAGCAGCACUUGAACUGUAUUUUUGAAAUAAAAUAACUGAAGUAUUUAAUAUUGUCU